rnacentral:tRNA from 1 species
GGGUUCGUAACUCAGUCUGGCAGAGUAUCAGCCUUUUAAGCUGAGAGUCGCGGGUUCAAAUCCCGUCGAGCCCACCA